UCUGCUCCGAUGCUCCGAGACAGCAUGGUUCGUUGGAUCUGAACUCUAGGGACAGAUUGACUAGCCUCACUUCCUUCUAGCAAAAAUAUACGGAAGACACCCUGGUUAUUCUGCAAUUAGGGACAGGUCCCUUCAUUCCGUCUUCUCCUGGAUUCGAUUGCUUCUCAGCGCCCCGUGAAAAACAGUUUUCCCCAUCGCCGACGACCACCAUGGAUGAUUUUCGAUCGCCACCGGCCGCCAGCAGCCGCAGCUUAUUCCUGAUCUGCUGUUGUUAGCCUCAAUCCUGCAUAGACUAUUAGACCACCAUGCGCGUGCUGAAUUGUACUAGCUCGGAUCAGACCAGACCACGUCGCCGGAAACGGGGAGCAGAGAAGAAUCUCUCCCCGCCGCUGCUGGAACCGACCACGUCGCCGGAAACGGGGAUCCUACGCAACGAAGGCUGAAUGCAGGAUAAACCAUUGCUUAUGUAGUCUACUCUUUGGGGAAGCAUGAUGUUUGAACCGAUGGCGUGCUUCCUUGUAGCAUGCAUGGGACAUCGCCGAUGGAACGGCGGACCUACAGGCCACGUCAGAUAAAUACUCCACCCAGCCUUUGAUCUGGUGGCCACGCUGCCCAUGACGAUGGUGAUUUCUACUGGGACAUCGCCGAUGGAACGGCGGACCUACAGGCCAUCGAGUCGGCAAGAGCCAUACCGCAUCCGUCCACCGCCGACCCUGCGGGCUGCCUCACCACCUGCAUCAGGAUUCAGGAUUGCGCCCCAUUCUUCUCCUCGGCGACGGCGGCGGUGGCGGGCCGGCAGGCGGGGAAGCGAGCCAGGAACCCUAACAGUUUCUGAUGGGAAAGGCCAGCGACGAUGGCGCGUCUCUCCGUGUGGCGGCGACGAGAAUCCUGCGUCCGGCGGUGCUUCAUGGGGAGGAGCUUCACCGGUUUGUCCAUACCGAGCAUGUAUCUUUGCCUCCAUCCCAUCUCUGGCUCGCUAUUUUCCAAGAUAAGUGCCCCGUUGUUGCUCCGAUUGGUUGCAGAUUACCUGCAGAAUUUAAGCAGAGAUGUGUUGCCCCACAAUGUACAUUUUGUAGUGUCAGAUUUCCACCUCUUGUGGCGUGCUUCGAACAAUUUCAGCUUUUCCAUGUCCUUUUAUUAUCCUGAAUGUGUUCGUCCAUCCUAGAAUUUUUUUAUCAGCAUGCUCCUUUACUGUCGAAUUUCAUCAUAAAGGACACUUGUUCAAUCACAAGUUGCAAAUUUUGACAGCCAUAAUACUUGCACCGCAAUUGGUGCUUCUCUUGGCUCAAUGGUCCUACGUCUGAUCAUCUGUUCGACUAAUUUUUUUGCAGCUCGUGAUGGAAGUUCGGGACAGCCUGGAGAUGACACAUACUCUGAACUAACUCAACUUCCUUCGUUGCUACUUCAGGGCCAUCUCAGCCAUUCUGAGCACCUACGCCUCACCACAGGCCACCGAAAAUGCUAAGCAUAAGUUGCACGAUGUUGUGAUCGAAAUCCCCAACCGGCUUCCGCACAGUGAGGUGUUGUGAUCCUUUGUUUUUUUGAUGAAAUUUCAUUCCUUUACAUGUUGUCAAAACUUGACAUAUGAACAGUUUAAUAUAGUUAUGUUCACUUGACGUCUGACUGAAUAUGUACUUCAGGUACAGAGAUAACGGAUUGGUAUACUUGCAAAAAAAAACAUGGAAUUAUAUUCCUUUGGCUGCGCAUGCAGGAAAUUUGCUAUAUAUUUCAUUUACAACCAAUGGUAUGUACGUAGAGGAUUAGAAGUUCAGAAAUGAUUGAGUCGUACACCAUAUACAUACUGGCUCAGCUCCCAUUUUGAUAUUUCAUAUAAGCAUGAUUUUAAAUACAAAAAAUAAGUUGUAUGUUACAACACUUUGCCAUAAAGUUCUACCAAUAUUUGUACAAUCCUUCCAUGUGUCAACUGAUGAAGAUAAGAUUUAUUGGAUUUCUUUUGCUGAUGUAUUCGGCUGCUUCUGCAUAUGGAGUUUAGCUCAUUGGGAGAAUUCUGAAGCCAGGCCUUGAGAGAGUCUGGAAGUACAAAGUGCAGAACAAAAUCUGGACUGUUGACCAGCUUGCAAUCCGGGGAAGUCCCCACUCGCCGAUGUGCAAGAUGUGCAACCUGAUGCCUGAAUCUGCGGCUCAUUUAAGUUGUGCUUUUGCGAGUCAGAUCUGCCAGUUGCUGUCCCUGGUGACCCCUUCCAUUGUGCCUGCAGGUUUAAUCGAGAACUCAAUUAUGUUGUGGUGGGCCAAGGUAUUUGCAAUGGCGCCGGUUGUCAAUAAAAGGAGGCCGCUGGAUUGGGCCCUGGACACAGUUUGGAAUCUGUGGAAAGAACGCUACAUGUGAACCUUUAAGCAAAAGAGGCAUCGGCUAAUGUGGUUUUCCCCCUGAUUAGGGACAAGGUUAAGGCCUUCAGGGCUGCUUGGCGCGAGGGAUAGCCCUGGUUUUUCUUGUUUCUUACAUUUAUCAUGUGCAAAACUUCUUUAGUUUAGCUCUUUCUGGAGGCUACUUUAGGUGUUCUUUCUGAAGCCAAGCAUGUUGUGAGAAAGAUAGCAAGAAACAUGAGAGUCCAAUUCAGAGAGGAGCUGUGCAGAUAGAAAUUGAUGUGUCGUUGUGUUCUUUGAAUUUUCCUCAAGUUACAUGAUGAUAGCGAACCAUUUAUAGUGGUUAUGUUCAUCU